rnacentral:rRNA from 1 species
AUGGAACUGGACACCAGCACGCUGCAGAACCUCGACAUCACCUCCCACGAAGAGGACCCAGGGCCCGUUGCAGUUUCCGAAGGCGGCCACGAAGGCAUAGAUGAUCACGACGACGAUGAGGGCUUGGAAGAGCCGCAGGUGACCUUAUACGUCGCGGAGGAGCCAAAGGAACCAUCGGACUGGCAUCUCCUUCUCCCCCAACACUUCCCCGACAAAGCUGGCGGUGCCCCGGCCUGGCUUGAUCCUGUCAAUUUGCCGUCAGGCGAGUUGAGUAGAUGCGGCUUCUGUGGCGCCCCGCUGCGUUUCGUCCUCCAGCUCCAGGCGCCAAUUAAAUGGAAGGAGACAGCCUGCCACCGCACAUUCUUUGUGUUCAUGUGUCCAUCCAUGUCUUGCUUGAUGCAAGACCAGCAUGAGCAAGGGAAAGACAGGGCAGGAAUUCUUAGAAGUGUGAAGGUUUUCAGGUGCCAGCUGGCCAAGAAUAACCCAUUUUACCCGGUCGAAGAGCCUCGACCUGAGGACUGCGUUGAUCCUGAGGGCUGCGUUGGCCGCGUCCUCGGCUGUUGUGAUUGGUGUGGCACAUGGAAAGGUGAAGAGAUUUGCAGCCACUGUUGCGAAGCAAGGUACUGUUCCAAGAAGCACCAGGAAUUGCAUUGGCAUGCUAGUCACAAGAAUGACUGCUGUCAAAUACCAGGUUCAUUCAAUGACUCUAAUCUGCCAGGUGCACGAAAAGUAUUUGCUGGCAGUUCAUGGCCUGAAUAUCUUAUAUUUGAUGAAGUGGAGACCCCUUAUUGUGGCGAAAACAGCUCAGAGCAGUUGGUGGAAGAAGGCGACGAACCAGAUGACAUAACACAAUUAUUGAUGGAUCAGUUUGAGGCUGAUGAUGACAAAACAUGCUGGGCAUCGUUCAUAGACCGUGUAGAAGGAACUCAUCAAGUAUUGAGGUACUGUGGGGAAGAAAAUGCAGAACCUCUUUGGGCAGAAUCAACGGGGUCUCUGACAAGUGCUGACAUUCCAUCAUGCAUCUAUUGUAAUGCCCCACUUGCCUAUGAAUUUCAGGUAAUGCCGCAACUACUCCAUUACUUCAAUGUGGAAAGUGACCAAGACCCUCUCGAUUGGACAACAAUUAUUGUGUACACAUGCCGAGAUUCGUGUGAUAAAAGUAUCAGCUACAAGGAGGAGUUUGUAUGGGUUCAGUUAUCAACCGAUACAAUAAGCACAUACCGAGCCAUUUCAACUCCAGCUGGUUUGUAG